rnacentral:tmRNA from 1 species
GGGGGUGCAGUGGAUUUGACAGUUAAGGAUAAGCUUAAAGGGCAGUGGUCUAGUAAACCAUAAUACUAUUUAAAGAUAAUCGGAAACGAUGAUUCUGCUGUUGAUUUUGCUUUAAUGCAAGAACAAAAUUUUCAAAAUUCAAACUUUGCAUUAGCAUAAUAAAUUAACACUUUAACUAUUUUUUUUCGCUUGGAAUUUAGUUAGAGAGGCUUACAAGCGAGUGUAGAAUUAUUUAAGUAGUGAGUUAAACUUACUUUGUUUGCUAAUUUUUUAAAUUAGAUAAACUGUAGAUCUUUAAGUAUUUUUUUAAUUGGACUCGGGUUCGAUUCCCGACACCUCCACCA